UGCGCUUUUCCUCUCACUAUUAAUUACUAAGGAGUGAAGUUUUUCCUAUUAUAUUAGCUUCGAAUUAUUUGUACCAAAAUUUCGCUUAUAAAAUGUGUCUGAUAGAGAAACAAUUCAUGGGAAACCGAAUUUUAAAUUUUUUGUUUGUUCUAUGUAUAUGGAUUGUAUGGCUUAUUAGGAUUGCAGAAGGAGCAUAUGGAAAUGUUGUUUCUCUGCCUGGAGAGUGUCGCGAUGUUAAUGGGAAAAAAGUAGAACAAGAUGCUCACUACGUUCCCCCAGGUACCGACGUUUGUCGUUUA